CGCCCACAUUUCACAUAAUUAUUCAUUCUAAAAUUAUUCUAGUUCCAAAACGUUUAACUUUCAUAAUAUUUUAUGUUUAAUCAUCGAUCAAAAUAUUGUAGUUGUAUUAAGAGAUUUAACAUUACUAUAUAUCUCAUAUAUAGGAAGUGAUAUAUUCCUUUUCCCUUUAAACUCUAGGAUUCUUGUCGGAUUCAAACAUAUUCAUAAAUAUCAGAAAAUGUAAAACUCGUCUCGUUAGUCAUUAGCCUACCUUGUGGGCAGUCGUGUUUCAACCACAACAGAAAUCAGUUAGGGAGCAACGCUCUACCUAUUAUAUAAUCCUAACUCAGCCUAGUAUCAUCUCAUAUUUCCGACUGAUGAUCUAUUAGCUCUGAUACUAACUGUGACGUCCUACUUCUCAGUGAGUCAUCCAUCCUAGAACUAAUCUAUAGUCCUCUCAUAUUUCCGACUGAUGAUCUAUUAGCUCUGAUACUAACUGUGACGUCCUACUUCUCAGUGGGUCAUCCAUCCUAGAACUAAUCUAUAGUCCUGACACGAUUAAUUUUCUUAACUUCUUGAUUUUAACCAUCGUCUAAAAUGCUAGUCUCUUUUUUUUUUAGAGAGAAAUGUAGCAUGCUAGCUGCUUUGUUUAUUUCAUUUAGAAAUGAACUUAGCUGGAAAUGUGAAUCAACUAAGAUUCGAACUUGGGUCUCGGGUACCAACCACCAAGCCCUUUGCCACUUGCUCUACUAUAGUCAAGUUAAAAGUUUAGCCCUAUUAUAUAUUUCUCAUAUGUAA
rnacentral:lncRNA from 1 species